AACAUUAGAAAUUAAGAGCUUAGAAAGGAAUUUUAACAUUAGAAGUUCAGUAUUAGGAGAGCUGAAAAUAUAGAACUAGAUUCUAGAGAUCAAAAUUUCAGAACAAAAGAAAGAGUCAGUCUUUGAGACCUAAAAAACUGAAAGUGAAGCUUUUUUUCUUUACUGCUUCUUUCAGAUUGAUUUUCCUGGUUGUUCUGUUUAGUUGUAAGUACUGUUGCAUUGGUUUGUUGCUCAAAUUCUAUUGGGUUAUGUUAAAGAUCGGACUGUUUUUUGCUACUGGGUUGUCAUUGGUUUUGUUGCUACUAUUUGAUGUGAUACUCUGCUACUGCUGUUGCUGAAUUUUUGCCACUGCUUUACUGCUGCUGAUCCUCAUCUCUCCUUGUUUGAAAUUCAAAUUCCAGGUACACACAGUUGAUGUACUGAUUCAAUGUAGUUGAGACUCGAAGCAUGAAUAAGAAUGAAGCCUUAAAGCCUUGAAAUUGUUUAGUUGCAUUUCGCAUCUUAAGUUAGGUAUAUACAGUAGCUAGCUUCAUCUGUCAAAGAAAUGUAGUAGUUUGAUAUGUACAAAUGAUACCUAAUGC
rnacentral:lncRNA from 1 species